CAGUCGAACGGAUAUCUUCGGAUAUGAGUGGCGAACGGGUGAGUAACACGUAGGCAACCUGCCUGCAUGAGCGGGAGAACUUCUGGAAACGGAAGCUGAUACCGGAUGAGCAAAGAGGAGGCAUCUUCUUUUUGGAAAAGGGGACAAGAGUCCCGCAUGCAGAUGGACCUGCGGUGCAUUAGCUGGUUGGAGAGGUAACGGCUCACCAAGGCGACGAUGCAUAGCCGGCCUGAGAGGGCGGACGGCCACACUGGGACUGAGACACGGCCCAGACUCCUGCGGGAGGCAGCAGUAGGGAAUUUUCGUCAAUGGGGGGAACCCUGAACGAGCAAUGCCGCGUGAGCGAGGAAGGUCUUCGGAUCGUAAAGCUCUGUUGCCGGGGACAAAAGGCGGAAAGAGUGGAAAGCUUUCUGAGUGAUGGUACCCGGCGAGGAAGUCACGGCUAACUACGUGCCAGCAGCCGCGGUAAUACGUAGGUGGCGAGCGUUAUCCGGAAUGAUUGGGCGUAAAGGGUGCGCAGGCGGCCGGGCAAGUCCGCAGUAAAAACUGGAGGCUCAACCUUCAGGGGCUGCGGAAACUGUCCGGCUGGAGAGCAGGAGAGGACGGUGGAACUCCAUGUGUAGCGGUAAAAUGCGUAGAUAUAUGGAAGAACACCGGUGGCGAAGGCGGCCGUCUGGCCUGCAUCUGACGCUGAGGCACGAAAGCGUGGGGAGCAAAUA
rnacentral:rRNA from 1 species